GAUGAAGAACGUAGCGAAAUGCGAUAAGUAAUGUGAAUUGCAGAAUUCAGUGAAUCAUCGAAUCUUUGAACGCACAUUGCACCCGCCAGUAUUCUGGCGGGCAUGCCUGUUCGAGCGUCAUUUCAACCCUCAGGCCCCCAGUGCCUGGUGUUGGGGAUCGGCCCAGCCUUCCUGUAAGGCCGCCGGCCCCGAAAUCUAGUGGCGGUCUCGCUGUAGUCCUCCUCUGCGUAGUAGCACAACCUCGCAGUUGGAACGCGGCGGUGGCCAUGCCGUUAAACACCCCACUUCUGAAAGUUGACCUCGGAUCAGGUAGGAAUACCCGCUGAACUUAAGCAUAUCAAUAAGCGGAGGA
rnacentral:misc_RNA from 1 species